rnacentral:rRNA from 1 species
CACGUAGGGUGCGAGCGUUGUCCGGAAUUAUUGGGCGUAAAGAGCUCGUAGGCGGCUUGUUGCGUCAGCUGUGAAAACCCGCAGCUCAACUGCGGGCUUGCAGCUGAUACGGGCAGGCUUGAGUUCGGUAGGGGAGACUGGAAUUCCUGGUGUAGCGGUGAAAUGCGCAGAUAUCAGGAGGAACACCGGUGGCGAAGGCGGGUCUCUGGGCCGAUACUGACGCUGAGGAGCGAAAGCGUGGGGAGCGAACAGG